CUCUUCUCUGGGGGAUUUUUAUGGUGAACCUAGAUCCUUGAAGAUGGGAGCUUGAUCCAAGGCCUGCAGGAGCUGGUGGAAAUCUCCCAGCCGAUGUGAUGUUGCACUAAGCUAGGGAGGAAUGCCCCACUCCUUCACUCUUUCCUGAAGUCAAGAUGCCUGCUUUAAAACUUCAGGAUGCUCCAUUCCCAUAAUUGCGCAGCCACAGCAGAGAUUGGGAAACACCACCAUGCUCCAGGCACAGUAUGUUUCAAACUGGACUUGAAGGCAUUGAUGUUCUGCUGAGUUCCUUCGUCAUGUAACAAGGACUGGGUACUGCCAAAGUUAUGGACUCUCUUUCCAGUGGGAGCUGAUCAGACUUGAAAUGAGUUACAGAGCUUUGCUGUCUCUCUUAGAAGACAGAAGACUGUAGGAAAUAGUCCAAGUGAACAGGAAUAUGACUGGCAGUUGCUGCAGCUCUGCAUGAGCCUGGGAAGGGAUGGUUAUCCCGACUUCAGAAUGAAUUACAAAGAAGCACGUGGCUGGAAGAAAAUGUGAUCAGAGCCAACGUGCUAUUUUGGAGCAUGCCUAAGGUGCUGUGCUGUUCCUUGUGGGGUAGUAAUGAGCGGCCCAGCGGUGGGAUAAGUAACUACAUCUCUGAGUCACUGCUUUGAGGCCCAUGCAACAUGUCUGGCAAAAUUUCUGCACACUCUCUUCCCAGCAUUCCUGAAGAAUGAUUCCUUUUCAUAAAGUUCAGUUGGAACAUACGUCUUCUAAAGUGCAUGUGCUCGGAUCUCAAUAUUACGGGCUGUGCAGAUAAACUGAUUCAGCUGAAGCUCACUUGACACCCUGAGUGCUCUAGGCAGUGAGGCACUGUUGCAGUGGACUGGAAAUCUCAGCAAAGGGAGAAGCUGUGCUCUUCCAGCUCUAUGUGCACAGAAGUCCCUGGUGUUUCUCUGAGGCUCCUCCACAAACCCUUCCGUUACAGACAACCGUGUGAUUACAAGAGUUGAGAAGAAAAUGUAAUCAGACACUUGAACUCAGAGUCUGAUCCACUCAAGAGACUUUAUCUACAGUUCUGAGAAGAGUAAGAACAAGUUAAGAAGAUUAAGAGAAUGAAAACAAAGACCCAAGAACACUGUCUUGAUCAAGAUUUAGAUAACGCUGUUGGAAAUGCAAGUGAGACUAUCCAAUGAGUUAUGUAUUCUUUUCAUACAACCGUGUCUCCACUGUUCUGCGAAGAGUCAGUGGAAGAACUGCAGGUUCUUUCUGACCUUUCAGGAACUUCGCUUCAUUUAAAGAAACUUGGUUUUUGGUUUAUCUGUUUACUUUUCAUCUUCCAUAUGAUUAUGUGGAACAGAGACGCAGACAUCUGCAGUGAUGAAUGCUCUGUCAAAUACAAAUGUUACAAUCCAUCCUGCCUUUGAUGAGUAAAAUAAAUGUUUGGGUUAUUU
ensembl:lncRNA